NNNCCCCGCCGCCGCUGCCCCCGCCGCCCCCCGCCCCGGGCAGCGGCAGCCCGGGCGGCCCCGGCUUCCCCGCCUCGCCCCGCUCCCCCGGCGGUCCCCGGGGACCCGGGGGUCCCUGCUCCCCGGGGGGGCCCCGCGGGCCCGGCUUGCCCGGCCGACCCGGCUCCCCUUUGGGACCCUGGUGAACGAAGGGCGGCGGCGGGGGGUUGGCCCCCGGGUCCUGCAGAGCCUCCACGGCGGCCGUGCUGCCGGGGCCGGGCGGCCGGGCGGCGCUGUAGGGGUCGCAGAUCAUGCGGCAGGUGCCCAUCAUCUCGUAGUGGGCGCCGCUCUCGGCGGGAGCCUGCAGCAGGAGCAGGGGCACGGCGACCAGCAGGGCGACUGCCAUGGCCAGGGCGAGCCCGGCGGCGGCCAGCAGCCGCCUCCUCCGCUGCCAGAGCCGGGAGGCGAGAGACAGCAGGUCCUCCUUGCCGGGAGAGGUAAUGGUGGCGCGGGGGCCGGCCGCUCCCUGCGGGGGGGGACGGCAAAAAAAAAAAGAAAGGCGGUGAGCCCCCCCCCCACCGCCGCCGCCUCCCCGUCGGGGCCCCCCUCAGCCCGCUCGCCCCUCCAUGCCGCCGAGCCCCCCGGGCUCCCGGCGGGGCUGGCACGGAGCUGGGGGGCGGCACGGAGCGGCACGGAGCGGCCGCCCGGCGCUGCCCCCUUCGCCCGCCCCUCGGCGCCGCCCCGACGUGGGGGGAGCGGGGCGAGGCGGGGCGGCCGGACCCACCUGCGGGGCCGGGGUCUCGGGGGAGGGCUCGGCNNNNNNNNNNNNNNNNNNNNAGGGGCGGGGAGCGGCGGCGGGGCUUCGCCGGCCCCCGACGGCCGGCACCGGUGCGGGGGACCCCCCACAUCCCCUCCUGUUCCGUCCCAUCCCGUCUCAUCCCCUCCUGUUCCGUCCCAUCCCGUCUCAUCCCCUCCUGUUCCGUCCCAUCCCGUCCCGUCCUGUCUCGUCCCGUCCCAUCCCGUCCCCUCCUGUCCCCCCCGUCCCGUCCCGUCCCGUCGGGGCAGCGCAGGCAGCGGCUUUGCCGUCCUCUUACCCUCGUUG
rnacentral:lncRNA from 1 species